GGGUCCGUGGGCUAGCUUGGUAUACUUGUAGCUUCGGGAGCUAUAGACUCCAGUUCAAAUCUGGGCGGACCCA
rnacentral:tRNA from 1 species